AUGGACAACUCUAUAUAUCCAGGUAGAAACCAAGAAUGUGGUAUACGUUCCUCUGAAAAAAAGGAUGUGGCAUACGGGGAAGACAAGUACAUACAACUCCUAUUGAUUGACAUUUAUUUCCAAUCCACCUACUCAACAACCUUACGCAUUUAUCGGAAGAAAAAAAAAACACCUCGCCUCGACGCACUGGUCACCGAAGGUCUGGCCGCCCACGACAACCUUAGGAUCGGCACCAUCAUGCGUGAGUGCCAUGACCUCUUCAAGGGGCUUGAGUCUCUAACUGACUGCUGUGGUGGUGAUAGAACCACGGCGAGGGCCAUCACCAAGGCUCACCCGCAUGUCAAGUGCACCGUGCUGGAUCUCCCCAAGGUGAUCGACAAAACUCCUUCUGACGGCAUAGUCAACUAUGUCGCCGGUGACCUCUUCCACACCGUCCCGAAGGCUCAGGCGGUGAUGCUCAAGCUUGUGUUACACCACUGGAGUGACGACGAUUGUGUCAAAAUCCUAACCCAAUGUAAGAAUGCCAUUCCUUCACGUGAGGAGGGAGGAAAGGUGAUUGUCAUAGACAUUGUGGUCGAACCAUCAUUAGGACCAGCCAUGUUUGAGGCACAGACUCUAAUGGACAUCCUCAUGCUUGUGUUCACGAGAGGCCGUGAACAUAGUGAAAAUGACUGGCAUGAGCUUUUCAUGAAAGCAGGGUUUAGCGACUACAAAAUUGUCAAGAAACUGGGUGCACGAGGUGUUAUCGAGGUCUACAAGUGA
rnacentral:rRNA from 1 species